UUUUUUUUUUUUUUUGCUCAUGAGUACCGUAUUCAGUUCCUCUACUUACCACAGUGUAAUCGAUUCUGUUGUGAAGUAUUUAUGAAAAACCAGUUUAUCACGCGACUACACUAUAGGUGGCGAUUGACAUUUCCAUCAAUUGUUGUCACUUCGUUGGUCAAGAUAUAUAAAACGCCUGGCUUCUGCAAGGAUGUUUUUGGCACAAUUCGACUUCGAAUUCCUUUUCUAAUUGUAAAGUUUCGCGCAUAAAAGCUGGUCUUGAACAACUGGUGAGAACUUGCUGGAGGAACCAGAAUUAGAGAGAAUGUGCUGACACGGGGCGGAUUUGAGAGCCUUUCAGUGUUAGGCUGCUAUAUCUAGGGAUCAAUGAUGUCUCCAAGAUGGGGCAACUGAUACCAGGGCAAACUCAAAUCGGAAAACUCCUAUCUGGGCCAUAACUGAUUAUCUAGGAACUGAUAUAGAACUGACAGUGACUGAUGUUAUUGCUGCUUAUGAACUGUCGGCGACGAUAGUUUACCACAAGAAUUUGUGACGUAAUUUGAAGGGACUUCCAUAGGACCCGGAAGAGGCGCUGGAAGAAGACUUCUGGCUCAGAUAUCUCCUGUUGAAAUAUGGAAUAUUGAAUCCAGAGAUCCAUAUUUCUGAGAAGACUUCAACUGGCAUGACAAGAACUAAAAUUAACCUUGAAGAAUUUCGCAAUGCCUUACAAAAUUCGGUUUCAUGGUAGCAUCCGAAUAUCUGGACAUUAAUACUCUAAAUCUGGAGGCGAUUUUGGCGCAGAAAAAAAAUUCGGAACGGAGUGAAACUUCAAAAGGAGGUUUACGAGGAGUGCAACCAGCGGCAGAUGCUUUUACUUGAAUUGUAGGAUCCUUGCCAGUAAAGAUUGAGUAAAUUCUCUCUAUAUUGAGUCUUCAAUGUUUUAAGUUUCCUUGCCCGCCUCCUCCCCCACCCCCCGCCAAAAAGUUUUGUAAAUUUUUAUUGUUUUAAAAAUUACUUUAUAUCUUAUGAUUGGUUCUAUAUAUCAGUUGACCGGGCAUGAGUUGUCCGAAGUGUGUUUUUCGGGAACGAGCUGUCCUGGUUUGUUUCUCUGGUAUGUUAACCUGCUAGGCUUUUAUCACUUAAUUUCCAAAUUGUCCAUGCUGCGCUUUUCAUUCAAAUCCUGAUAUGUUUGGAGGGUAGGUUCCUCUGAUAUUCUGUACUCGUAGACUUACCAUUUGCUUCUGUAUAUUUAAAACUAAAUAAAUAAUGGGUCUGUAA